GGGGUUGUGGCUCAGUGGUAGAGCACUUGCCUAGCAUGUGGGGGGCCCUGAGUUCAAUCCUCAGUACCACA
rnacentral:tRNA from 1 species